UACGGAGGGUGCGAGCGUUGUCCGGAAUCACUGGGCGUAAAGGGCGCGUAGGCGGCUGGGGAAGUCGGCGGUGAAAGCCCGGAGCUCAACUCCGGGUCGGCCGUCGAGACUCCUCGGCUCGAGCUCACUAGAGGCAGAUGGAAUUCCGGGUGUAGCGGUGGAAUGCGUAGAGAUCCGGAAGAACACCGGUGGCGAAGGCGGUCUGCUGGGGUCGAACUGACGCUGAGGCGCGACAGCGUGGGGAGCAAACAGG
rnacentral:rRNA from 1 species